UGUUAUAUUUUCUAUUAAAGUGUGUAUGACGUGCUCAUGCAUCUAGAUAAUUGCAUAAUGGCAGCAUCCUCACGAUACGCCCUACCCUCCGCCGAGUAGUUUGGAGGAUUUCAUUCGAGUUGAAGAUUCAUUUGGGAUGCCACCUUAUACUCAAUACCAAUCGUCGAGUAAUCUUGAAGACUUGAGGCAAGAAACGCCUCCUGCGUCGAUGACACCAAAUAGUGUAGAAUCUGAAUUUGAAGCAAAUGUUGGAAGUUCCUAUGAUGCUGAUGAAAUGUUUUUCGACAUAAACGAAGAUUUAGAGGGUACCACUGUUGUCCCGGAUGAUGAGGUACAAGUUGAACCACCAAGAUCCGGUAUGGAGU